rnacentral:snRNA from 1 species
GUGCUAAUUUUAGCAGCAAAUACACUAAAAUUGGAAUGAUACAGACAAGAUUGUCUUGGUCCUUACCAAGGAUGACACAGAAACCCGUGGCACGUUCUAUUAAAAA